CUUUACAUCUAUACCCAAAACAAAUGUUGAGGGAACUAACCUCUAAUUUCUUGGAUUUACACUCAUUCACCUUUUGUUUAAAACUGUUUUCCAGGCAUAGAGGCAGAUCUUUUUAGAAGAUGUGCAUUUUGAAAUUUAAGUUCUUUGAGUACUUUUGGGUAGAUGCCAUCUGGACCUGAUGAUAUGUUAAUUUUUAAAUUGUCAAAACAUUACCAUUGUUGCCAGAGGUGGCAUCAGGUUUUUUUCAGACUCCUUUCCUGAAAAUGUUUGUUUCGGCUUGACAUCUGUUGUAUAUCUUCUUCAGUGACAAGAAGUAGAAAUAUUUUACUCUUUAAUUUCCUUGUUUUCCACUGGUCCUUUCAAUUUCCUUGUCUUACUGCCUCACUAGACAGUUCCCUGCUUCUAAUGUGCUUAGUCCAGUAGUAUGUAUUUUUUUAAAUGUUAGCAAUGUUCACAUUUUUUUUCUCAGAAGAUAAGUGAAGAACCCCUUGUAGUGUGAGUCUCUUGUAAUUUAGGUUUUCUCUUCCCAGUCCUCUAGAUAGGCAGUAAAAGACCAUUUGGUGUCCCCGAAAAGGGAGCAAUCCUUAGAAGGCAUAAAAUAUUUUUAAAAAUGGGGCGGGGGGGGGGGGGUGUGUGCAAAUGAUUUAUUAACAUUUGCAGAGCAAACAGAACUUGCCAUAAAAGAGGCAACAAUAAGACAUCUAAUCUGCUCCUCAUAGGAGAGAAUUGUGUUCAUUCCAGCAUCAGCACAACUUAGGGUGGAUCAAGCAGUUCAUUCUUUAUUGUAACAAAAUAGACAUAUAUGUAAGAACCCACAUUCCUUUAGCAGUAGAUAUGGGAGGAGAUCUUGUAGUUUGGGAUAUACCAGAGCUUUCGUGAUUCAGGUGGGGGGGUGGUGGUAUCCCAAUUAGUUAGGUUUUAAUGUAAGUAUGGUACAUUUAAUUGUUUUUAGUGUAGUUAGCUUCUUUGAGUCUCUUUUAAAAGAAGAAAGCAAGAUAUCAGUAAAUAUAUAACCAUUUGUUACAGGACUCUCUUACCAAAGUUGGAUUCAGUAGAGUUAAAGCUGUCAAGUUUAUAAUGCUUGAAUGUGGAUGAUGGCUUCUGUGUGGUCACCCUGCAGAUUUCUGUUAGGGGGCAUUGGCAGCCAAAGCUACUAUAAUGGCAGUACAAUCUAAUUCAUGUGGUCUGGGUGGAAGUCUUCCAGUGCUUGGUUGAAAGGAGCUGGACAGGGCAUCAAGAGACUGGAAGCUAUUUGUCUUUUUUAGAUAAAGUGUGUUGGAGUAUGCAUCCAAUUGACCUUUGCUUUGUUGGAGGUUAAUUCUUUAGAUAGAGUUUAAAUAUUGAUCAAGUUACCUACAUCCCUAUUCAGUCAAACUGUACAUGUUCAAGUCCCAUUAUAUACAACUGCAUAGUAAAAAUGUUAUAUAUAAUUCAAGCCAUGGGUGGCUGAAUCUAUGAAUGGAUACCAACUGCAGUUCUCUAUUAAAGGGUUAGAACUCUUACUGUUACAUCUUUUCUGGCUAGUUCUGUAUGUUCUGCAAAUAUUAAUAAUCAUUUAUGUUUUCUAGAGCAUUGGUCUCUUUGCUUUUAUUAGUGAUUAGCUUUCUCAGACUUGUUUCCCAGCGUGAGGACACCAGAGAGGCCUUUAUUUCCUGCCUAACUGAAGUGAGUGGAAGGAGCAAACCCAAACUUCAACAGACUCAAACUACAAAUGGCUUCUCCCUUAUCUGAUGGAAAGAGACCUAUUUUUUUCUCUUCUUCACAACUUCUUUAUCUUUAUCUUAUGUAUUUCUAUUUCUUUGGCCAAAAUCUGUUCUUUUUUGUUCUUGUUUGGGCAAGAUUUCCAUUUUCUGAAAAAAAUACUUGAUUUGUUUCUAAGGAUAUUCUUGACUCCAAUCAUUAAUCACAUUUUACAACUCUCUUGAUCUAUGAUAGAGUAAUAACAACAACAACAACAGCAACAACAACAACAACAACUUGAUUUUUUUUUACUCCACCUCCAUCUCCCUGAAGGGACUUGGGUUGGCUUAUAUAUGGCAUAAGGUGCCUAAAACAACACAUAAAAUAAACACACAGUACAAUACAAAAUAAAGCCAUUAGUAUAUAAAACAACAAUUUGAACUCAGGACAGCGCCCAAUAACCUAUAUUGUCAACUGUUGUAAAAACAUGGCCAACUAUAAACAAGAAGAAAGGAAAGGGAUAGUGCAAAUUGUAGCUAAGGAACAAGGGAAUUGAAUGAAAGUGCUGUCCAGUAUCAUAAUUGCAGACCAUUGAGCUAGACAUUCUCGAAGGCUUGUCUAAACAUCCAAGUCUUCAAUUCCCUCUGGAAGGAGGAUAGGGUGGGGGCCUGACUAAUCUCGCUGGGGAGGGCGUUCCAAAGUCAGGGGGCUACCAUCGAGAAGGCCCUCUCCCUCAUCCCCACCAACUGUGUUUGUGACAGUGAUGGGACCGUGAGAAAGGCUCACACAGGUACAUAGAGGGAUGCGGUCGUGAAAAUAGGCAGGGUCCGAACCGUUUAGAUGAUUACUUGCACUUUGAAUUGGGACCGGAAACUUAUUGACAGCCAGUGGAGCUGCUUAGAGUUAUAUAGAAGAUACUAUAUUGUUAUGGUUUUACAGAACUCCUGUGAAAUCAGUGAAAUGACUCCUCUUUAACUUCUUUUUAUCAGACCAAUAAGUGACGUACUUACUUGGCUCUUGUAGUUAAUGUCAGAGGUGUGCCAUUUCACUGAUUGAUUUCAUCAGUAAUAUCAGUAAAGUGAUAAUGAUGGAUGCCAACUUUUCUUUUAGCCUUAUUGAUCUCUUGUAGAAGCUUCACUGUUUAUGCAGGAAGAUAUCACAUUCUUAGGGAUGAAAUGUCAAAAAUAUGAGCUAGAUACACACCAUGGACAGACAACUCUGGCAUAACAUUCUUGGUUUUUAAAAGCACAUUCUUAUGCUUUCUGUUGUAAAGUAUAGUUCUGUAUAGCCUACAGCUGUUCAGAUAUAUACGGUAUCGGAUUAAGAUAAAAAGAGGUAUUAUGCCCUAUUGACAUAAAACAGACACUAGCAUACACACUUUACUGAGAAUAUUGUGAACUCACAAUCUUAUUCAAGCUCAACAGCAUAAAGAAUUAGCUGGCAAUGCUCAAUAUUUUGUCUUGAGUUCUGCGGUAGCAUGCAUUCUGGAUUACAAGAAUAACCUUUUAAAAUAAGAAUUGAAUUACAAUUCUGUAUGGUAGUCAGGAAAAUCUUUCACCCAUCAAGUAAAGUUUUGUAGGAGACUGAGUAAUCUUGCAACCCUUUAAAAAAUAAAGUUUAUUGCUUCAAAUCUACAAAGAAUAAAAAUUGAAUAAAGCAUAUAAUGAAAAUAAACUACUAAGCCAACAUACAAAUCUAUCAGAUAACCUACAAGCGAACCUUCAUGAACAAAAUAUAGAAAAAAGAAAUAUGAAUCUGCUGUAGUUAUAUUUUACAGUUUCACCCUUCCAUUUACCUUUUAUAGUGUUAUGUAAGUCUAGAAAUUUGAAUCAAAAAAUAAAUCCAAAAAACUAGGUCAAUUUGUCCACAGGUCAUUGUGGGUAUGGUACCUUAAAUUAAUAAGGUAACCUCCCUCUUCUCUAAGUAGGAUGGUGAAAGGCACAAGCUUAGUCUAUCCCAGUAGACUAUAAAAGAAGCACCAACACCCUUUACUUUUUCUGCCAUAAGGUUGUUACUGGCCUUUGGGCAUGCAUGGCCAAGGAAAUGGCAGCAGUGACCAGACAGCAGGCCCACUGUGUUGGCAUUGGUUUGUUCCCUUCUCAGGGGAAUGACCUCAAUUUAUCCAUAAUUUUGACCCCAAAACCUGGAGCCCCCGGUGGUGUAAUAGAUUAAAGCCUUGUGACUUGAAGGUUGGGUUGCUGAUCUGAAAGCUGCGAGGUUCAAAUCCCACCUGGGGAGAGCGCGGAUGAGCUCCCUCUAUCAGCUCCAGCUCCAUACAGGGACAUGAGAGAAGCCUCCCACAAGGAUGAUAAAAAACAUCAAAAAUAUCCGGCUGUCCCCUGGGCAACGUCCUUGCAGAUGGCCAAUUCUCUCACACCAGAAGUGACUUGCAGUUUCUCAAGUCGCUCCUCACACGAAGACAAAACCCAAAACCUGCCUUUGAUUUAUAUAUGAGAUGGACUCACACAUGAAUAUAUACAGUAAUCUAGAAAUUACAUUGCAUCUGUUCAUUUAAAUUAUACUUAUUUUCGAAAUCAACUUCAGUCACCAUAAUUUUUAAAGGACAUUCAGUUUGAAAAUUUACCAUCAACAUUUAUUGAAUUAAGAUAAACAGCAUAAAUGAUUUAUCAAUCUCUGCAAAUUCAAUCAUUUUAACUACCAUUGUUCUUUAAUUUCAAUUUCUAAUCUUUUGUUAAUUUUCUUUUGAAACUAUAGAAAUACACCAUAUCUAUUAAAAGUAUUUGCCACCUUUCAAGUACAAAUAUCCUUCAAGUACAAAUAUCCUACAACUUGCAAUUUUUUUACCUUUCAUAUAAUCAAAAGAUCUAUAAUCAAGAUGUAUAUAAUCAAAAUGUCAAGAGACAUAUUUAUAUAGUGAUUUCUCCUUUUCUUUUUGUUCAAUCCAUCUAAUAUCUAACAAUAAAAAAACAUACAGAGUAAAAUAUGUAGGCAUUUUCACUGGAUAUUCAUACUUAUUUCAAGAACUGACUAAAACUCACUGUUUGCAUCCAUCCUUUAUCAAUAUUUAUAUUUAACAUGUUUCUUAAUUUUCAUAGAAUCAUAGAGUUGAAAGAGACCUCAUAGGCCAUUCAAUCCAACCCCCUGCCGAGAAGCAGUCACAAUAAUAAUAAAAAAAAACAUAAAUCAUUCAUGACAGAAGAAUGUGGGAAAUGUACACCCUCUCAUAAAUCCCUCUUUUCUUCAUCUUCAGCUCUGUCCAUUUCCACACCUUCAUGAGCAGACUGCUCACAAUCACUACUUUUCUCCGUAUUUGUCAUGCUGCUGUCCGCUAAGAUCACAAUUUCUUCUUUGUUGUAAAGAUCUUUACUUUGAAGAAGUCCCCCCAUAAUCACACUCUUCCUUCUGACAUAAUCCGUAAGUGUGGUUGAUUUAUCCAGCUCUUUUUUCAGAUUUCCAAAUCUUUUGGCAGGUUUUAUGACAAAAUUCAUUGUGACUUCUUUAAAAGUUCUUUAUGUUUCUAUCAGGGCCUGCUUUAGCUCUUCUGUUAUCAAAUUUAUCUCAUGGUAUGUCGCUUGCCAAGUGGCCUGAUCAUCUAAAUUACCCAAACUUUUCUCAACAUAUGCUUCCCAUAUCUUUAGACAGUAACAUCUACUAUUUCACACAAUAACUUUCAGAAAUUUAGCCUUCAUUUAACCACUUAGUAUAUGUAUCCAUAACAAGUUAUUGUCUGUUAUUGUUCUAAUGUUCAUUAAAUGCUAGCAAUUUAACUCAGACCAUUUCAGGUUUCUCCAGUAGCUAGUUGAUGUCAAUCAAUUCUUUGUCUUAUCCUGUUUUCCAUAACAAUGAUAGCAACUUCUACUUUCUCAAAGUAAGAAAAUGCUUUGUUUUUAAUAAUUUGUUUGCCUUUUUAAAGCAAGAUUUAUUUCCUUUUCAAUCUCCCAAAUCAAGGUAAUGUUAUAUUUUCUGGUUUUCUUCCUGCAUGCUCUCUCUUGGUCAAUGGAAUCAUACCUCUUACAAGGUUGAAAUCUCCCCUGCAGAAUCAGGUUUCUUAAAUGCAGGUUGUUAGAAAGUUUACUUAUAUUUUAUGUGAAUUGGGCAAGGUCUUGGAGCGGGUGGUUGCCUCUCAGCUCCAGGGAUUCUUGGAAGAUACGGAUUUUCUGGACCAAUCACAGUCUGGCUUCAGGCCUGGAUUCAGUACCGAGACGGCUUUGGUCGCCUUGGUGGAUGACCUCCGCAGGGAGCUGGACAGGGGGAGUGUGACCCUGCUGGUUCUCUUGGACAUCUCAGCGGCUUUCGAUACCAUCGACCAUGGCAUCCUUCUGGGGCGGCUCUCUGGGAUGGGCCUUGGGGGUACUGCACUGCAGUGGCUCCAGUCCUUUCUGGAGGGUCGUUCCCAGUUGGUGAAGCUGGGGGACACCUGCUCGGACCCCUGGCUAUUGACCUGUGGGGUCCCGCAAGGUUCUAUUUUGUCCCCCAUGCUUUUUAACAUCUAAAUGAAACCGCUGGAUGAGGUCAUCCGGAGUUUUGGAGUACGGUGCCAUCUCUAUGCGGAUGACACCCAACUCUACUACUGUUUUCCACCUAAAUCCAAGGAAGCCCCUCGGAUUCUGGACCAGUGUCUGGCCGCUGUGUUGGCCUGGAUGAGGGUGAAUAAACUGAGACUUAAUCCUGACAAGACAGAGGUCCUCCAGGUCAGUCGUAUGUCUGAUCGGGGUAUUGGGUGGCAACCUGUGCUUGACGGGGUCGCAUUCCCCCUGAAGGCGCAGGUCCGCAGCUUGGGGAUCCUCCUGGAUUCGGGGCUGAUGCUUGAGGCCCAGGUGUUGGCCGUGGCCGGGAGGGCCUUUGCACAAUAAAAAUUGUGCGCCAGCUGCGACCAUACCUCGAGAAGUCUGAUCUGACCAUGAUGGUCCAUGCCUUAGUUACCUCUAAACUGGACUAUUGCAAUGCGCUCUACGUGGGGCUGCCUUUGAAUACGGCCCGAAAAUUACAACUAGUACAACGAUUGGCAGCCAGGCUUCUAACUGGAGCGAAUUACAGGGCGCGUUCAACGCCUCUGUUUAAGGAGUUCCACUGGCUGCCGUUUACUUUCCGGGCCCAAUUCAAGGUGCAGGUUAUCACCUACAAAGCCCUAAACGGUUUGGGACCCACCUACCUUAGAGACCGCAUCUCCCCCUACGAACCCGCACGUUCUCUCCACUCGUCGGGGGAGGCCCUUCUCUCGCUCCCACCACCCUCGCAGUCGCGGUUGGUGGGGACGAGAGAGAGGGCCUUCUCUGUCGUGGCCCCCCGGCUUUGGAACUCUCUUCCUAGAGAGAUCAGGCAGGCCCCUACCCUCCUCUCCUUUCGUAGGAGCUUAAAAACCUGGCUCUUCCAAAAGGCCUUUGACACCUAAUUUGAUGUUGGCCUGAUCCAUCUGCCCAUUUUAUAAUAGCCCCCAUUUCUGAGGUGUUGCCAAUGCUAUUUUGCACUUUAUUGUCCAUUUCUACCGGCACAUUCUGUUCUGGAUUUUAUGAAUUAGUCUCCUGUUUUAAUAUUGUAUGUUUCUUGUAUGCUUCUUGUCGAUUUUAACGAUUGUUUUAUUGAUAUUGAUGUUUUACUGGUAUAAUUGUUUUAUGGCUGUGUUACUGAUAUUUGAUUGUUUUAUCGGGCUAGGCCCCAUGUAAGCCACCCCGGGUCCCUUCGGGGAGAUGGGGUGGGGUAUAAAAAUAAAGUUGUUAUUAUUA